rnacentral:ncRNA from 1 species
CACAGCUUCGGCUGCGCCGGUUCCUGUCCCAUGACAGGUGAAAAGGGAAUGCGACGGGUUAUACCCGAAAGCAGCCGCCCCCGCGACCGUGACCGGAAAGGUCGUCCAAAGCCACUGGCACAUGCCGGGAAGGUGGGACGCCCGUGGGCCUGGCCCGAAUCCGCAAGCCGGGAGACCUGCCGCGCAGAAGGAUUGAC